rnacentral:rRNA from 1 species
ACUUAAAUUGAAGAGUUUGAUCAUGGCUCAGAUUGAACGCUGGCGGCAGGCCUAACACAUGCAAGUCGAGCGGUAGCACAGAGAGCUUGCUCUCGGGUGACGAGCGGCGGACGGGUGAGUAAUGUCUGGGAAACUGCCUGAUGGAGGGGGAUAACUACUGGAAACGGUAGCUAAUACCGCAUAAUGUCGCAAGACCAAAGUGGGGGACCUUCGGGCCUCAUGCCAUCAGAUGUGCCCAGAUGGGAUUAGCUAGUAGGUGGGGUAACGGCUCACCUAGGCGACGAUCCCUAGCUGGUCUGAGAGGAUGACCAGCCACACUGGAACUGAGACACGGUCCAGACUCCUACGGGAGGCAGCAGUGGGGAAUAUUGCACAAUGGGCGCAAGCCUGAUGCAGCCAUGCCGCGUGUGUGAAGAAGGCCUUCGGGUUGUAAAGCACUUUCAGCGGGGAGGAAGGCGGUGAGGUUAAUAACCUCAUCGAUUGACGUUACCCGCAGAAGAAGCACCGGCUAACUCCGUGCCAGCAGCCGCGGUAAUACGGAGGGUGCAAGCGUUAAUCGGAAUUACUGGGCGUAAAGCGCACGCAGGCGGUCUGUCAAGUCGGAUGUGAAAUCCCCGGGCUCAACCUGGGAACUGCAUUCGAAACUGGCAGGCUAGAGUCUUGUAGAGGGGGGUAGAAUUCCAGGUGUAGCGGUGAAAUGCGUAGAGAUCUGGAGGAAUACCGGUGGCGAAGGCGGCCCCCUGGACAAAGACUGACGCUCAGGUGCGAAAGCGUGGGGAGCAAACAGGAUUAGAUACCUGGUAGUCCAC